CCUACGGGAGGCAGCAGUGGGGAAUAUUGCUCAAUGGGCGAAAGCCUGACGCAGCGACGUCGCGUGAGGGAUGAAGGUCUUCGGAUCGUAAACCCCUGUCAGCAGGGAAGAACGGUCACUGUGCUAAUCAGCAGUGAAUUGACGGUACCUGCAAAGGAAGCAUCGGCUUACUCCGUGCCAGCAGCCGCGGUAAUACGGAGGGGGCGUGCGUUAAUCGGAAUUACUGGGCGUAAAGCGCUCGUAGGCGGUAUGUCAAGUCAAGGGUGAAAUCCCCGAGCCCAACGGUGGAACUGCCUUUGAAACUGGCAAACUGGAGUGUGUGAGAGGAUAGUGGAAUUCCAGGUGUAGGAGUGAAAUCCGUAGAUAUCUGGCGGAACAUCAGUGGCGAAGGCGACUAUCUGGCACAUAACUGACGCUGAGGAGCGAAAGCGUGGGUAGCAAACAGGAUUAGAUACCCGGGUAGUC
rnacentral:rRNA from 1 species